CACAAAAGCUACAAAUGCUCAGUGGAGAGAACUGGGAGAUGGCUCAGUCAGUAAACGCAGGAGGACCAGGAUUUACUUCCCCAUCAUCUAGGCCACAAAGGCAGGCAUGGUAGUGCCUGUCUGUCAUCCUGAGAAGGGGAGGUAGAGACAAUCAGAUCCUUGGAACCCCACAGUUGGCCAGCCAGCCUACCUAAGUCGAUCCAUCUAGAUUGUGAGCAAAACCUUCCAUUCCUGCUCCCACAGCGAAAGGCAUACCAGGACCUCCAGCAUGCCUUCCUUACCAAAAGCAACUGGACCCUCAAACUCCUGGCCAACAUAAUUCCUUCAUCCCUCCUACUGCUUCAUGAUAAAAGACGUGAUCAAAAUUCAGCAGGGAAGCUCCACCUGGGAAUCCAUGAA